GAUGAAGAACGCAGCGAAAUGCGAUAAGUAAUGUGAAUUGCAGAAUUCAGUGAAUCAUCGAAUCUUUGAACGCACAUUGCGCCCCCUGGAAUUCCGGGGGGCAUGCCUGUUCGAGCGUCUCAGGGACGAACCCUCGCGCGGGUGUACGCGCGGUCGUGGCUGCGGUGGCGUGCCCGAGGCGGCGGCCACCGCGCUGGAAUCCAUGGGCGGACGCCUGCCGCGUGGCCGAGCGUGAUAUGACGCAUUGGCGCUCGCACGCGGAGAGGCUGCCAGCCCUGGCCCGUCUGUCGGGCGGGGGAGAGCAAGACACGUGAACUCCUCGAAUCAGGUAGGGAUACCCGCUGAACUUAAGCAUAUCAUAAGCGGAGGA
rnacentral:misc_RNA from 1 species